rnacentral:rRNA from 1 species
UACAGAGGUGGCAAGCGUUGUUCGGAAUUACUGGGCGUAAAGGGCGCGUAGGUGGCCUUCUUAGUCAGACGUGAAAUACCCGGGCUCAACCUGGGGGCUGCAUUUCAAACUGGAAGUCUAGAGUGCAGGAGAGGAGAGUGGAAUUCCUAGUGUAGCGGUGAAAUGCGUAGAGAUUAGGAAGAACACCAGUGGCGAAGGCGACUCUCUGGACUGUAACUGACGCUGAGGCUCGAAAGCGUGGGGAGCGAACAGG